rnacentral:rRNA from 1 species
UACGUAGGGUCCGAGCGUUGUCCGGAAUUACUGGGCGUAAAGGGCGCGUAGGCGGUCAGAUAAGUCAGCUGUGAAAACCUCGGGCUUAACCCGAGGCCUGCAGUUGAAACUGUUUGGCUGGAGUGUGGGAGAGGAGAGUGGAAUUCCCGGUGUAGCGGUGAAAUGCGUAGAUAUCUGGAGGAACACCGGUGGCGAAGGCGGCAUCCUGGACCAACACUGACGCUGAGGAGCGAAAGCCAGGGGAGCAAACGGG